rnacentral:rRNA from 1 species
GAUGAACGCUGGCGGCGUGCCUAAUACAUGCAAGUCGAGCGAACAGACGAGAAGCUUGCUCCUCUGAUGUUAGCGGCGGACGGGUGAGUAACACGUGGAUAACCUACCUAUAAGACUGGGAUAACUUCGGGAAACCGGAGCUAAUACCGGAUAAUAUAUUGAACCGCAUGGUUCAAAAGUGAAAGACGGUUUUGCUGUCACUUAUAGAUGGAUCCGCGCUGCAUUAGCUAGUUGGUAAGGUAACGGCUUACCAAGGCAACGAUGCAUAGCCGACCUGAGAGGGUGAUCGGCCGCACUGGAACUGAGACACGGUCCAGACUCCUACGGGAGGCAGCAGUAGGGAAUCUUCCGCAAUGGGCGAAAGCCUGACGGAGCAACGCCGCGUGAGUGAUGAAGGUCUUCGGAUCGUAAAACUCUGUUAUUAGGGAAGAACAUAUGUGUAAGUAACUAUGCACGUCUUGACGGUACCUAAUCAGAAAGCCACGGCUAACUACGUG